rnacentral:lncRNA from 1 species
GGAUGAGGAGAGAAGUUCUAGGAGGAGGAGGAGUUCACAAUAUGAUGGCUCUGAUGAGGAUGAUGAAGGCUUAGGGAGAGAAAAGGAAAGGUCGGAGAGCGAGGGCGACUCUUCUUUGGAUAGGGAUGAGGAGAGAAGUUCUAGGAGGAGGAGGAGUUCACAAUAUGAUGGCUCUGAUGAGGAUGAUGAAGGCUCAAAGAGAGAGAAGGGAAGGACGAAGAGCGACAGCAGCAGCUCUUUGGAUAGAGG